UCCAUUUAUAUCACUUAUUGGAUCAUAAAAAAUAUCCACCAAUCCAUUACUUAAUCCAAUGGAUCAAUCCAUUUAUCCAAUUAAUUAUAUGGAUCGAUCCAUGAUCCAUCCGGAUCGAUCCAUUACUAAUUAAAAGAAAAGGAGAAACGAACUGCACUCUCUCAAAAUAGCAUUUAGGGUUUCAUCUUGUCUGCAAUCGUCCUUCUCUCAACCUGCAAUCGUUGAUCUCACAACCUGCAAUCGUCGAUCACUCAACCUGCAAUCGUCAAUCUCACACCUCAUCUUGUCUGCAAUCGUCAAUCUCCACCAUCUCCGUCCCUCCUCCGUCGGCCUCCAGUCCACCGCAAUCAUCGUUUCAUCGGAGACCCCAAUUGCAGCCACUACCACCGUUCGCAGCCAUUACGACCGCUCGCAACAACCACCACCAUGCUGUUGGUGAUGGCGAAGAAGAGAGUAACGAGACACAGGAGCUUUCUAGGAGGACAGAGAAUGUCGAUAGAAAUCGAACCAAGUGACUUGGCAUCAAAGAAGAAGAAAAAGACCCAAUCCACAUGAUAUAUCUCCCUAUACUGUGUUCAUGAGUUUGCUUGUUUGUUUUUUUUUUCUUUUGAACUUGUAGUUACUCAUGUCUUUCAUGGUCAUGGUUAAAUUUGAUUAGAAUCUUUGAUCUACUUUUUCUAGUUUAAAGAACUUUGAUAAGAAUUUUGAUAAAAGGCAGUGAUUGUAUUGGUUGUUAGGUAGGUAAAUCAUGGUUGGAUUGUCGCUGUUCUGGACAGUUGCGGACCAGGUCCAAGAUUG